CUCCAGACUCCUACGGGAGGCAGCAGUGGGGAAUAUUGCACAAUGGGGGAAACCCUGAUGCAGCGACGCCGCGUGAGCGAUGAAGUAUUUCGGUAUGUAAAGCUCUAUCAGUAGGGAAGAAAAUGACGGUACCUGACUAAGAAGCCCCGGCUAACUACGUGCCAGCAGCCGCGGUAAUACGUAGGGGGCAAGCGUUAUCCGGAUUUACUGGGUGUAAAGGGGGCGCAGACGGCAGCGCAAGCCAGGAGUGAAAGCCCGGGGCCCAACCCCGGGACUGCUCUUGGAACUGCGCGGCUGGAGUGCAGGAGGGGCAGGCGGAAUUCCUGGUGUAGCGGUGAAGUGCGUAGAUAUCAGGAGGAACACCGGUGGCGAAGGCGGCCUGCUGGACUGCGACUGACGUUGAGGCCCGAAAGCGUGGGGAGCAAACAGGAUUAGAUACCCGUGUA
rnacentral:rRNA from 1 species